ACUCCUGUGAGAAUGCCCUUAUUGUCCUGCCCAGGAACUAAGGAGCAGGUAUCAGGCACGAUUAAUCAGCCCAAUACACCUUGUUUUGCCACACCCCUACGGGUAAUCAGCAGUGAUAAACUUUUAGCUAUAAGUGAAAACUUGACUCAGUUAAGGUUAAAAGGGUCGGUAAACCUCGUGCCAGCCACCGCGGUUAAACGGGAGACCCAAGUUGAUAAACAACGGCGUAAAGCGUGGUUAAAGUAUUAAUUAAAUAGGGUCAAAUAGCCUCUAAGCAGUCAAAUACUAUCGAGACCACAAAGUACACCUACGAAAGUGACCCUAAUACUCCUGACCCCACGAAAGCCAUAACACAAACUGGGAUUAGAUACCCCACUAUGUAUGGCUGUUAAAAUUGAUGGUACUUCACUCGAACCAUCCGCCCGGGAACUACGAGCCUCAGCUUAAAACCCAAAGGACCUGGCGGUGCUUUAGAUCCCCCUAGAGGAGCCUGUUCUAUAACUGACAACCCCCGUUAAACCUCACCACCCCUUGUCAAAUCC
rnacentral:rRNA from 1 species